UACGUAGGGUGCAAGCGUUGUCCGGAAUUAUUGGGCGUAAAGGGCUCGUAGGCGGUCUGUCGCGUCGGGAGUGAAAACUCAGGGCUUAACCCUGAGCCUGCUUCCGAUACGGGCAGACUAGAGGUAUGCAGGGGAGAACGGAAUUCCUGGUGUAGCGGUGGAAUGCGCAGAUAUCAGGAGGAACACCGGUGGCGAAGGCGGUUCUCUGGGCCGAUACUGACGCUGAGGAGCGAAAGCGUGGGGAGCGAACAGG
rnacentral:rRNA from 1 species